AAUAGGCCCGAGACCACAAUUAAUUCCUCUAUCAUUUCUUUAUAACGUUUUGUCGCAUUAAAAAAUUUUUGCCUAUUCUUUUUGUCUAAUUUUUUGUGUGUGUAAUGUACAGUACAAGUCCAAAAAUAUAUGCAAUUUUACAUCAUACAAAUUUGCCAAUACACAUCCAUACCCCUAUAGGCAAGUCAAGAGAUGUUCCGAAAAGUGUAAAUAUUACCUUUUUGCACCUGGCCUAAUCACUCUUUCCUUAUUAAAAUCAGUUAAAAUAAAACAUCCAAAAGUUUAUUUAAGCUCUCUUCUUUCAUUUCCACCCAAGAAAAGCUAAGAAAUGAAUGAGAAAGGGAAAGAAAAAAAUAAAGACAAAAUACACUAUAAUUAAAGGGAACUAUAUUUGUGGACAACGAAAAGCUGGAUCAUUAAUUGUGGUCUUGGGC
rnacentral:lncRNA from 1 species